AGAGUUUGAUCCUGGCUCAGGACGAACGCUGGCGGCGUGCUUAACACAUGCAAGUCUACGAGAACGAGGUAGCAAUAUCUUUAGUAAAGUGGCGUACGGGUGCGUAACACGUAAGUAAUCUACCUUUGGGUUCGGAAUAACUUCGGGAAAUCGGAGCUAAUACCGGAUAAUGCAGCGGCACCGCAUGGUGAUGUUGUUAAAGUUUGUGUAAUGCCUAAAGAUGAACUUGCGUCUGAUUAGCUAGUUGGUGAGGUAAUGGCUCACCAAGGCUGCGAUCAGUAGCUGGUCUGAGAGGAUGAUCAGCCACACUGGAACUGAGACACGGUCCAGACUCCUACGGGAGGCAGCAGUGAGGAAUAUUGGGCAAUGCCCGAAAGGGUGACCCAGCAACGCCGCGUGGAGGAUGAAGGUCGUAAGAUUGUAAACUCCUGUUAGAGGGGAAGAAUAACUAAGUUUGGAGCUUAGUAUGACUGUACCCUCAGAGAAAGCCCCGGCUAACUACGUGCCAGCCGCCGCGGUUAAUUCA
rnacentral:rRNA from 1 species